rnacentral:rRNA from 1 species
CCCUUAGAUGUUCUGGGCUGCACACGUGCUACACUGGCAAGUUCAGCGAGCUUCAUGCCCUGAUCUGAAAGGAAUGGGAAAUCUUUUCAAAACCUGCCGUGCUUGGGAUAGAUGUUUGCAAUUAUUCAUCUUCAACGAGGAUUGCCUUGUAAGCGCACGUCAUCAGCGUGCAUUGAAUACGACCCUGUAUUCUGUACACACCGCCCGUCGCUCCUACCGAUUGAAGUUUUCGGUGAGUUGACAGGAGGAUUUUUUUGAAACUGGUUCGCCAGUGGAUUUUAGAUCCAAAUGCCAACGAAUCGAUGGCUUUAGAGGAAGGAGAAGUCGUAACA